rnacentral:rRNA from 1 species
UGGUGUCGAUUGCGCCGAGGGUCCACCUGUUCCCAUUCCGAACACAGUAGUUAAGCUCGACCGCGUCUACAAUACUUGCAGGGCGACCUGCCGGGAAGAUUGAUGAUGCC